AGCGCUGCCCUCCGAAGGCAGAGGCCAGAGGUUCGAAUCCUCUAGGGUCCGCCA
rnacentral:tRNA from 1 species